rnacentral:rRNA from 1 species
GACGUAGGGCGCGAGCGUUGUCCGGAUUUAUUGGGCGUAAAGAGCUCGUAGGCGGCUUGUCGCGUCGUCCGUGAAAACCUGCAGCUCAACUGCAGGCUUGCGGUCGAUACGGGCAGGCUGGAGUUCGGUAGGGGAGACUGGAAUUCCUGGUGUAGCGGUGAAAUGCGCAGAUAUCAGGAGGAACACCGGUGGGCGAAGGCGGGUCUCUGGGCCGAUACUGA